UAAACAGCAGAAACCCAAAAAAAACUACAAAUAUUUGUUUGCUCUUCCACGAGAUACAACAAAGUAGUAGUUGUAGUAGUAGUAAGAAACUAAGAAAGAUCACAGUCACAAGGCGGCAGUUGUUAUUCUCACGUAGAAGUGGCAGUAAAAUAAAAAUCCAGAUAUAAUAAAAACAAAACGAAAAAUAAGCAAAUAAAACGAUGGGAAAAUACACAUACAUCCAAGAAUAGAAAACACCAACUGAUGUACACAUGGAACCGAAGAGUAAAAGAUGUUGCUGAGUUAUUAAGAAAACAACCCGCAAGGCAGGCUGGCUGACAAACUGAACGUCCAACGAAGUAAGUAACCAACCAACCAACCCAACCAGCCAUCAAUGAAGGAAAUAUUUUUUAAAUGCAAACAA